UGGUAACUCCACCACCGAUUGCGUUUUUAAUUUUGUUCCGCAGCCGGUGGUGACUGUUUCCACA